GCUGACGUAGCUCAGAUGGUAGAGCAGCUGAUUUGUAAUCAGCCGGUCGGCGGUUCGACUCCGUCCGUCAGCA
rnacentral:tRNA from 2 species